UACAUUUGCCGCAGUCUACCAUGCAGUCGACGGUAACAGGAAGCAGCUUGCUGCUUCGCUGACGAGUGGCGGACGGGUGAGUAAUGUCUGGGAAACUGCCUGAUGGAGGGGGAUAACUACUGGAAACGGUGGCUAAUACCGCAUAACGUCGCAAGACCAAAGAGGGGGACCUUCGGGCCUCUUGCCAUCAGAUGUGCCCAGAUGGGAUUAGCUUGUUGGUGAGGUAACGGCUCACCAAGGCGACGAUCCCUAGCUGGUCUGAGAGGAUGACCAGCCACACUGGAACUGAGACACGGUCCAGACUCCUACGGGAGGCAGCAGUGGGGAAUAUUGCACAAUGGGCGCAAGCCUGAUGCAGCCAUGCCGCGUGUAUGAAGAAGGCCUUCGGGUUGUAAAGUACUUUCAGCGGGGAGGAAGGUGUUGUGGUUAAUAACCGCAGCAAUUGACGUUACCCGCAGAAGAAGCACCGGCUAACUCCGUGCCAGCAGCCGCGGUAAUACGGAGGGUGCAAGCGUUAAUCGGAAUUACUGGGCGUAAAGCGCACGCAGGCGGUCUGUCAAGUCGGAUGUGAAAUCCCCGGGCUCAACCUGGGAACUGCAUUCGAAACUGGCAGGCUUGAGUCUUGUAGAGGGGGGUAGAAUUCCAGGUGUAGCGGUGAAAUGCGUAUAGAUCUGGAGGAAUACCGGUGGCGAAGGCGGCCCCCUGGACAAAGACUGACGCUCAGGUGCGAAAGCGUGGGGAGCAAACAGGAUUAGAUACCCUGGUAGUCCACGCCGUAAACGAUGUCUACUUGGAGGUUGUGCCCUUGAGGCGUGGCUUCCGGAGCUAACGCGUUAAGUACACCGCCUGGGGAGUACGGCCGCAAGGUUAAAACUCAAUUGAAUUGACGGGGGCCCCGCACAAGCGGUGGAGCAUGUGGUUUAUUUCGAUGCAACGCGAAUAACCUUACCUGGUCUUGACAUCCACAGAAGAAUCCAGAGAUUGAUUUUGUGCCUUCGGGAACUGUGAGAACAGUGCUGCAUGCCUAGCCGUCAGCUCGGUUUGAUAAAUGUUGGUUAAGUCCCGCAACGAGCGCUACCUUUAAUCCUUUUGUUGUCAUGCGUAGCCGUAACUUCAAAGCAACUGCCAUGAUAUCUGAAGAGUUGGAUGACUCAGUCACUUUGACCUUAGACCAGGCUUAACCGCAAGUUCAAUGGCAGGCUACACACGUGCUACAAUGGCGCAUACAAAGAGAAGCGACCUCGCGAGAGCAAGCGGACCUCAUAAAGUGCGUCGUAGUCCGGAUUGGAGUCUGCAACUCGACUCCAUGAAGUCGGAAUCGCUAGUAAUCGUGGAUCAGAAUGCCACGGUGAAUACGUUCCCGGGCCUUGUACACACCGCCCGUCACACCAUGGGAGUGGGUUGCAAAAGAAGUAGGUAGCUUAACCUUCGGGAGGGCGCUUACCACUUUGUGAUUCAUGACUGGGGAAGUCGAACAAGUGGCGUUGCGCCA
rnacentral:rRNA from 1 species